AACGAACGCUGGCGGCAUGCCUAACACAUGCAAGUCGAACGAUGCCUUCGGGCAUAGUGGCGCAAGGGUGCGUAACGCGUGGGAAUCUGCCCUUGGCUUCGGAAUAACAGUUAGAAAUGACUGCUAAUACCGGAUGAUGUCCCCCUGAGAGAUCUUGGGGACCAAAGAUUUAUCGGCCAGGGAUGAGCCCGCGUAGGAUUAGGUAGUUGGUGGGGUAAAGGCCUACCAAGCCGACGAUCCUUAGCUGGUCUGAGAGGAUGAUCAGCCACACUGGGACUGAGACACGGCCCAGACUCCUACGGGAGGCAGCAGUGGGGAAUAUUGGACAAUGGGGGGAACCCUGAUCCAGCAAUGCCGCGUGAGUGAUGAAGGCCUUAGGGUUGUAAAGCUCUUUUACCAGGGAUGAUAAUGACAGUACCUGGAGAAUAAGCUCCGGCUAACUCCGUG
rnacentral:rRNA from 1 species